UACGAAGGGGGCUAGCGUUGCUCGGAAUUACUGGGCGUAAAGGGAGCGUAGGCGGGUUAUCAAGUUGGGGUGAAAGCCCGGGGCUCAACCUCGGAAUUGCCUUCAAAACUGAUAACCUGGAGUAUGGAAGAGGUAAGUGGAACUCGAGUGUAGAGGUGAAAUUCGUAAGAUAUUCGGAAGAACACCAGUGGCGAAGGCGACUUACUGGUCCAUUACUGACGCUGAGGCUCGAAAGCGUGGGGAGCAAACAGG
rnacentral:rRNA from 1 species